rnacentral:ribozyme from 14 species
ACAAAAUAGAAAACAAGGUAGUGCUUGGCGGGGCUCUUAAGACGUGUCGUAUCGUCUUUGGAAUUUUUUUUUUCUUUCUUUGUAUUUUCUUCCUUAGCUUUUUCCAUAA